rnacentral:rRNA from 1 species
AUUGAACGCUGGCGGCAUGCCUUACACAUGCCAGUCGAACGGUAACAGGUCUUCGGAUGCUGACGAGUGGCGAACGGGUGAGUAAUACAUCGGAACGUGCCCGAUCGUGGGGGAUAACGAGGCGAAAGCUUUGCUAAUACCGCAUACGAUCUACGGAUGAAAGCGGGGGAUCUUCGGACCUCGCGCGGACGGAGCGGCCGAUGGCAGAUUAGGUCGUGUGUGGGAUAAAAGCUUACCAAGCCGACGAUCUGUAGCUGGUCUGCGAGGAUGAUCAGCCACACUGGGACUGAGACACGGCCCAGACUCCUACGGGAGGCAGCAGUGUGGAAUUUUGGACAAUGGGCGAAAGCCUGAUCCAGCCAUGCCGCGUGCAGGAUGAAGGCCUUUGGGUUGUAAACUGCUUUUGUACGGAACGAAAAGCCUCUUUCUAAUAAAGAGAGGUCAUGACGGUACCGUAAGAAUAAGCACCGGCUAACUACGUG